rnacentral:lncRNA from 1 species
AAUUUCAGCGCUACAAUAUAAAGAAUAUAUAAAUCUUUUAAAAGAACUCCUGAAAUUUGAAGAAAUGCUCGAUUUGAUGAAGAUGACAGCGCCAAGCUCGGUGAUGCAGCGUGCAAACUCAUACUCCGUCCAUAGAACGUGCUCGAUCUUGGCCUCGGAGCUCAUGGAGGAGGAAGAGAAAGUAGAGAAGGAGAGAAGAGGGCUUUUCAUGAGUUUCUACGAUUUACGGUUUAGAUUAAGGUUAAAAUGCGUGGACCAUUAAUUAGACGUUAUGUGCGGAGAAAAGACGAAGGGUUGGGUUAAGGUGGGUGGACCAUUAAUUAGACGUUAUGGGUGGAGGGAAGCGAAGACAUUAUGGGUGGAGAGAAAGCGAAGAGUUGGGUUAAGGUGGGUGAACUAUUAAUUAAACGUUAUGAGUGGGGGAAGGCGAAGGGUUGGUUUCGCAAUGUGAAACCUAAAACUAAAGGAAACACAGCCACAUGGCAUUUUUUUGAGGAUUAAUGUAUAAGUAUAGGUAUAGAUAAUAAUAAUAAAUAAAAAUAAGGGUACAUAAUUUUAUGGA